rnacentral:rRNA from 1 species
CGUGUAGGUGGACCUUUAAGUCGAUGGUGAAAUCCUGCGGCUCAACCGCAGAAUUGCUUUCGAAACUGGAGGUCUUGAGUGCGGCAGAGGGAGAUGGAAUUCAUGGUGUAGCGGUGAAAUGUGUAGAUAUCAUGAAGAACACCGGUAGCGAAGGCGGUCUCCUGGUCCGCAACUGACACUGAGGCGCGAAAGCGUGGGGAGCAAACAGGAUUAGAUACCCUGGUAGUCCACGCCUUAAACGAUGGGUACUCGGUGCUGGACCGCGAGGUUCAGUGCCUAAGUUAACGCAUUAAGUACCCCACCUGGGGAGUACGAUCGCAAGGUUGAA